AACGAACGCUGGCGGCAUGCCUAACACAUGCAAGUCGAACGAGACCUUCGGGUCUAGUGGCGCACGGGUGCGUAACGCGUGGGAACCUGCCCUUAGGUUCGGAAUAACUCCCCGAAAGGGGUGCUAAUACCGGAUAAUGUCUUCGGACCAAAGAUUUAUCGCCUUUGGAUGGGCCCGCGUUGGAUUAGCUAGUUGGUAGGGUAAAAGCCUACCAAGGCGUCGAUCCAUAGCUGGUCUGAGAGGAUGAUCAGCCACACUGGGACUGAGACACGGCCCAGACUCCUACGGGAGGCAGCAGUGGGGAAUAUUGGACAAUGGGCGAAAGCCUGAUCCAGCAAUGCCGCGUGAGUGAUGAAGGCCUUAGGGUUGUAAAGCUCCUUUACCCGGGAUGAUAAUGACAGUACCGGGAGAAUAAGCUCCGGCUAACUCCGUG
rnacentral:rRNA from 1 species